AGAGUAAGGCCCACACCACUCUGACCUCAGCUGACAUGUCACAGGCUUGCACUUUGGCACCACUGCCCUUGAGCUCGUACCUGGUCCCUGUCAUUAAAGUCAGGCCUAGGAGAACCCAGCAUGAUUCCAGAGCUCAGGCUCCUCGUCUAUAAAAUCUCGUUUAUAAGUUUUGAUAGAAAUUAGCAGAAUGUCCAGAUUCCUGUAUUCCACUGAAGUUCUGGAUGUUGAAGAGGAGAUCUGUGUGCUGGGUAUGACCACAGAGGCUGAAGGGCCAAAGUGCCGGGAAGAUUGAGGACCACUGAUCUGCAGAGACCUGAAGAAGGACUUUGUCACGGAUGCUUCUGCCACCCCAACUUGGCAGCAGGUGAAGCAGACAAGCUGUGUGGGACCUACCAUUUGCUUGCCUGUGUGCAAAGCCUUUGUACACAUGGGUUCUCAUCACACAGGAAGGCAGAAGGGCCAGCACCCACUCCUCCAAGAGCACUUGUUUGUGGCUGACAGCAGACUCCAAAAGCCUGUUCCUUCCCAUUUUUUGCUCAUGAAGAGCCACUGGAAUCCUGAGCCACCAGAAUUUUCUAUAUAAUAAGACUAUCCCAA